UUAAAUGGCUGCAGUAAUUUGACUGUACAAAGGUAGCAUAAUCAAUAGUUUUUUAAUUGAAAGCUUGUAUGAAAGGUUGGACGAGAUAAUAUCUGUCUUUAUUUAAUAUAAAUAAGAAUUUAAUUUUUAAGUCAAAAAGCUUAAAUUUUUAUAAAAGACGAGAAGACCCUAUAGAUCUUUAUAAAUUUAUUUUUAUAAUUAUUUUAGAUUUAUUAAUUUUAUAUUAUAUAAGUUUAUUUUAUUGGGGUAAUAAAAAGAUUUAUUUAAUUCUUUUUUUUUAUUUUAUUAAUUUAUAUAUUUUUGAUCCAUUAUUAAUGAUUAAAAGAUUAAGUUACCUUAGGGAUAACAGCGUAAUUUUUUUAGAGAGUUCAUAUUGAUAAAAAAGUUUGCGACCUCGAUGUUGGAUUAAAGAUUAAUUUAGGUGCAAAAGUUUAAAUUUUUGGUCUGUUCGACCAUUAAAUCUUUACAUGAUCUGAGUUCAGACCGGUGUAAGCCAGGUCGGUUUCUAUCUUUAUAAAAUUAAAAUAUUUUAGUACGAAAGGACCAAAUAUUAAUUAUAAUAAUUUUUAUUUUGAAUAUUAUUAAUUAUUUUGGCAGAUUAGUGCAAUGAAUUUAGAAUUCAUUUAUGUAAUUUUUUACAAAUAAUACUUGUUUAUAUUAGAUAGAAUUUUUAUAUUUAUUAGAAUAAUUUUAUUAAUUAUUUGUGUUUUAAUUAGUGUUGCUUUUUUAACUUUAUUAGAACGAAA
rnacentral:rRNA from 1 species